GGAGUUGUGGCUCAGUGGUGAGAGCACUCGCCUUGCAUGUGUGAAGCCUUGGGUUCAAUCCUAAACACCA
rnacentral:tRNA from 1 species